rnacentral:lncRNA from 1 species
AUAAAAAAAGGUUGAAUCUAUAUAUUUUUCAUAAAAAUAAUCAUAAUUUAUAAAAUAUUGUAAAAAUUUGGUGCACGGAAAAUCAGCGUUUGUUUACGUUCUCUCCGCCGCCAUUUUGGAUUUUGGGAGAAGGCCAGCUGUGAAGUUUCUACACUAAAAAUCGGAAAAAAGCGUAAAAAUGUCGUCAGAUGAGUCUGAUAUUGACCUGAAUGACUCAAUGGAUGAAGAAUCUGAUGUCUGGGUACCAGAAUCGGACGAUGAGGGUCCCGAGGACGGAAACCAAGCCCCGACUUUGACCAAUCGUGAUCAAAACAACAGGUUAGUGUUUUGUUUACAUCCUGCCUAUGCACAAGAAAGCCUAUAAAAUGUAUUCUAGUGGGUUUAGGCCACUGGUAUUGUUACUUCAAGCUUACAGAAUAGUUAUUUGUGGUAACCUGAAGUUGUGAAAGCAUGGUUUGCCUCUAAAAAAAUUUAAUUAACUUUUUUUAUGUGCCUAGCUACGGUUGUCAUGUUAUUGUUUACACAGCAAUUCCUCAAACAGGAAGUUUGUUUUUGUUUACACCUCACCCGUGUGCAGUAGCCCUAUUCCCUGCUAAGAUUUUAUCAUUGUGAUAAUAUGAUGAUAAUGACAGAACAGCUUUGUUCAAGGUCUGCCUCUGUCUAGAUCUAGAUCUAGAUCUAGAAAUAAGUGCCUAUGACAUAGGCCUUAUCAACAUGUCAACUUCGACUCCGCCGAUAGCGUCCUAAUCCUUUGCUUAUUUUCUUCCCUCAGGAACUAGCCGCAACCUCCACGUAACCAGUCUUACGCGGACCAGGAUGAUGGCCCACCAGAACCACUGCCUCAGUUUAGGCCUGCUGUGCUGUUGGCCUGCAUCUCCCUGACUGUAUCACCCGACAGGACAUCCGAAGUUUUCUGACGCCAGUAUCCUUCUUCAAACUGUUUUUCUGCACUGAGAUGGAGAAUCAGAUCUGCCUCUUCUCUUAUGAGUACGCCCCGAUGACAGGACCCAACAAACCAUCUGUCUUUCGCUCCUGGGAGGAUCUUGACUCUGAGAUGUUCCUCAAGUUCGUUGGACUGCUAAUGUAUAUGUCUAUUGUUCGUCUCCCAAAUUUAGAGCUGUACUGGUCUACGAAAACCUGUUUUCAUGGACUAUGGGCAAGAGCAUACAUGAGCAAACUAAAUUUCAUACAAAUUCAGUCUUUUUUAAAAUUAUGCAAUCCAGACACUGAGCGAGAUACUGAUAAGCUACGGAAAGUUAGGUUUAUGCACUAUUUUUUGAGUAUGAAAUGUAUGAAGUAUUGGCAACCUAACCAGUGUGUUAGCAUAGAUGAGAGGAUGGUUCAAAAUAAGGGGAGAUACAGUUUCAGGCAAUACAUAAAGGAUAACUAAAUGGGGGAUGAAGUUACGGGUGGUUGCAGAUUCGAUGAAUGGGUACACAUACAAUUAUGAAGUUUACACAGG